GAUAGCGUGCGCGCCGAUGGUUCCCCGCCCGAUAGCUCGACGGGGAUUAAUAGGGAACACGGUGAGGCCCCGUCAGGGACCAAGGCCGUGGCUGCCCCCGCAACUGUAAGCGGAUUGCCGUCUAUCCUUGUGGCGCGAGAGCGCCAUGCCACUGCGGGCCACCAUCCGCGGGAAGGCAGAUGGGCGACAGAUAUCCGUGAGCCAGGAGACCUGCCAUCAAGCAUAGUUUUCC
rnacentral:ncRNA from 2 species